CCUACGGGAGGCAGCAGUGGGGAAUUUUGGACAAUGGGCGCAAGCCUGAUCCAGCCAUGCCGCGUGCAGGAUGAAGGCCUUCGGGUUGUAAACUGCUUUUGUACGGAACGAAAAGGUUUGGCCUAAUAAGCUGAGCUCAUGACGGUACCGUAAGAAUAAGCACCGGCUAACUACGUGCCAGCAGCCGCGGUAAUACGUAGGGUGCGAGCGUUAAUCGGAAUUACUGGGCGUAAAGCGUGCGCAGGCGGUUAUGUAAGACAGAUGUGAAAUCCCCGGGCUCAACCUGGGAACUGCAUUAGUGACUGCAUAGCUGGAGUACGGCAGAGGGGGAUGGAAUUCCGCGUGUAGCAGUGAAAUGCGUAGAUAUGCGGAGGAACACCGAUGGCGAAGGCAAUCCCCUGGGCCUGUACUGACGCUCAUGCACGAAAGCGUGGGGAGCAAACAGGAUUAGAUGCCCUGGUAGUCCACGCCCUAAACGAUGUCAACUGGUUGUUGGGUCUUCACUGACUCAGUAACGAAGCUAACGCGUGAAGUUGACCGCCUGGGGAGUACGGCCGCAAGGUUGAAACUUCAAAGGAAUUGACGGCGNGAGAGNGCGAGGACGACGACGAGGGAGGAGG
rnacentral:rRNA from 1 species